UCGAGAAUUUUCCGCAAUGGGCGCAAGCCUGACGGAGCGACGCCGCGUGGUUGAUGAAGUACUUAGGUAUGUAAAAACCUUUUAUGAGGGAAAAAGUUUAUUGAUUGUACCUCAUGAAUAAGGGGUUGCUAAACUCGUGCCAGCAGCAGCGGUAAUACGAGUGCCCCAAGCAUUAUCCGGAAUUAUUGGGCGUAAAGGGUGAGUAGGUGGUUGUAUUAGUCUUAUGUUAAAGCCUUCGGCUCAACCGGAGAAUCGCAUAGGAAACGGUACAACUAGAGUAUGUGAGGGGUGUGUAGAACUCAUGGAGUAGGGGUGAAAUCCGUUGAUAUCAUGGGGAAUACCAAAAGCGUAGGCAGCACACUGGCACAUUACUGACACUGAAUCACGAAAGCGUGGGUAG
rnacentral:rRNA from 1 species